rnacentral:rRNA from 1 species
UACGUAGGGCGCAAGCGUUGUCCGGAAUUAUUGGGCGUAAAGAGCUCGUAGGCGGUUUGUCGCGUCGGAUGUGAAACGCCCCGGGGCUUAACCCCGGGUCUGCAUUCGAUACGGGCAGACUGGAGUGAUGGUAGGGGAGGAUCGGAAUUCCUGGUGUAGCGGUGAAAUGCGCCAGAUAGUCAGGAGGAACACCGGUGGGCGAAGGCGGGAUCUCUGGGCCAU